CCUACGGGGGGCUGCAGUGAGGAAUAUUGGUCAAUGGGCGGAAGCCUGAACCAGCCAAGUCGCGUGAAGGAAGAAGGAUCUAUGGUUUGUAAACUUCUUUUGAAGGGGGAUAAAGUGCGUCACGAGUGGUGCAUUGCAGGUACCCUUGGAAUAAGCAUCGGCUAACUCCGUGCCAGCAGCCGCGGUAAUACGGAGGAUGCGAGCGUUAUCCGGAUUUAUUGGGUUUAAAGGGUGCGUAGGUGGCUUUUUAAGUCAGCGGUGAAAACUGGCGGCUCAACCGCAAGAGUGCCGUUGAAACUGGGGAGCUAGAGUAUGAACGAGGUAGGCGGAAUGUGUGGUGUAGCGGUGAAAUGCAUAGAUAUCACGCAGAACUCCGAUAGCGAAGGCAGCUUACCAGGCCAUAACAGACACUGAAGCACGAAAGCGUGGGGAUCGAAC
rnacentral:rRNA from 1 species